rnacentral:rRNA from 1 species
CGCUCACCCGGGACGCGGCGGACGGCUCAGGACGACGGUUGCACCCCCCGCGGCGGUCCCUGCUAGCCGGACACCGCUGGCAACCCGGCGCCAAGACGUGCGC